rnacentral:rRNA from 1 species
CAGGGGUACUCGAGUGGCGAACGGGUGAGUAACACGUGGGUGAUCUGCCCUGCACUUCGGGAUAAGCCUGGGAAACUGGGUCUAAUACCGGAUAGGACGAUGGUUUGGAUGCCGUUGUGGAAAGUUUUUCGGUGUGGGAUGAGCUCGCGGCCUAUCAACUUGUUGGUGGGGUAAUGGCCUACCAAGGCGUCGACGGGUAGCCGGCCUGAGAGGGUGUACGGCCACAUUGGGACUGAGAUACGGCCCAG